rnacentral:rRNA from 1 species
AUAUAUUUUUCACACCCCCCCCCCCCCUCGCCAAUAUCAAAAGGGAUAAGCGGGAUGAACCCCUUACAAGGGAGGGGGGGGGGGAAGCGGUGGAUCACCUCCUAACUGGAGGAGGGUGGGGAUGACGUCAAAUCAUCAUGCCCCUUAUGACCUGGGCUACACACGUGCUACAAUGGGAAGUACAACGAGUCGCUAGACCGCGAGGUCAUGCAAAUCUCUUAAAUUUGCUUCUCUCAGUUCGGAUUGCAGGCUGCAACUCGCCUGCAUGAAGCCGGAAUCGCUAGUAAUCGCGGAUCAGCACGCCGCGGUGAAUACGUUCCCGGGCCUUGUACACACCGCCCGUCACACCACGAGAGUUUGUAACACCCGAAGUCGGUGAGGUAACCUUUUUGGAGCCAGCCGCCUAAGGUGGGAUAGAUGAUGCGGUUACAUCACCUCAAAUGUAUCAUGAA